rnacentral:rRNA from 1 species
GCAGUAGCCGCGGGAAUACGGAGGGUGCAAGCGUUAAUCGGAAUUACUGGGCGUAAAGCGCACGCAGGCGGUCUGACAAGUCAGAUGUGAAAUCCCCGGGCUUAACCUGGGAACUGCAUUUGAAACUGUCAGGCUGGAGUCUUGUAGAGGGGGGUGGAAUUCCAGGUGUAGCGGUGAAAUGCGUAGAGAUCUGGAGGAAUACCGGUGGCGAAGGCGGCCCCCUGGACAAAGACUGACGCUCAGGUGCGAAAGCGUGGGGAGCAAACAGGAUUAGAUACCCCGGUAGUCCCUGUCUCUUAUAC